rnacentral:rRNA from 1 species
CUCCCGAGUGCUUGCACUCAAUUGGAAAGAGGAGUGGCGGACGGGUGAGUAACACGUGGGUAACCUACCCAUCAGAGGGGGAUAACACUUGGAAACAGGUGCUAAUACCGCAUAACAGUUUGUGCCGCAUGGCAUAAGAGUGAAAGGCGCUUUCGGGUGUCGCUGAUGGAUGGACCCGCGGUGCAUUAGCUAGUUGGUGAGGUAACGGCUCACCAAGGCCACGAUGCAUAGCCGACCUGAGAGGGUGAUCGGCCACACUGGGACUGAGACACGGCCCAGACUCCUACGGGAGGCAGCAGUAGGGAAUCUUCGGCAAUGGACGAAAGUCUGACCGAGCAACGCCGCGUGAGUGAAGAAGGUUUUCGGAUCGUAAAACUCUGUUGUUAGAGAAGAACAAGGACGUUAGUAACUGAACGUCCCCUGACGGUAUCUAACCAGAAAGCCACGGCUAACUACGUGCCAGCAGCCGCGGUAAUACGUAGGUGGCAAGCGUUGUCCGGAUUUAUUGGGCGUAGAGCGAGCGCAGGCGGUUUCUUAAGUCUGAUGUGAAAGCCCCCGGCUCAACCGGGGAGGGUCAUUGGAAACUGGGAGACUUGAGUGCAGAAGAGGAGAGUGGAAUUCCAUGUGUAGCGGUGAAAUGCGUAGAUAUAUGGAGGAACACCAGUGGCGAAGGCGGCUCUCUGGUCUG